UACGUAGGGGGCAAGCGUUGUCCGGAUUUAUUGGGCGUAAAGCGCUCGCAGGUGGUUCGUCGCGUCGUGCGUGAAAGACCCCGGCUCAACUGGGGGAGGUCGUGCGAUACGGGCGAACUGGAGGCCAGUAGGGGGAUGCGGAAUUUCGGGUGUAGUGGUGGAAUGCGUAGAGAUCCGGAGGAACACCAGCGGCGAAGGCGGCAUCCUGGACUGGUCCUGACACUCAUGAGCGAAAGCGUGGGGAGCGAUCCGG
rnacentral:rRNA from 1 species